GCCUACGGCCAUACCAGUCUGAAAGUGCCUGAUCUCGUCCGAUCUCAGAAGCCAUCCAGACUUGGGCCUGUUUAGUUCUUGUAUUGUAAGAA